AGAGUUUGAUCAUGGCUCAGAUUGAACGCUGGCGGCACGCCUAACACAUGCAAGUCGAGCGGUAACAUGUUCUGUAGCAAUACAGGAUGACGACGAGCGGCGGACGGGUGAGGAAUACGUAGGAAUCUGCCCUCAAGCGGGGGAUAACCAAGGGAAACUUUGGCUAAUACCGCAUAAUCUCGAGAGAGAAAAGCUGCCCGCGAGGGUGGCACUUGAGGAGGAGCCUGCGUCCGAUUAGCUAGUUGGUGAGGUAAAGGCUCACCAAGGCAAUGAUCGGUAACUGGUCUGAGAGGACGGCCAGUCACACUGGGACUGAGACACGGCCCAGACUCCUACGGGAGGCAGCAGUGGGGAAUAUUGGACAAUGGGGGCAACCCUGAUCCAGCGAUGCCGCGUGAGUGAAGAAGGCCUUCGGGUCGUAAAGCUCUUUAGGUUGGGAAGAAGGGUACGGUAUGAAUAAGACUGUACUUUGACGGUACCGACAGAAUAAGCACCGGCAAACUCUGUGCCAGCAGCCGCGGUAAUACAGAGGGUGCGAGCGUUAAUCGGAUUUACUGGGCGUAAAGGGCGCGUAGGGGUGAGAUGUGUGUGGAGUGAAAGCCCCGGGCUUAACCUGGGAAGUGCUUCGCAAACUAUCUGACUGGAGUAUAUGAGAGGGUGGUGGAAUUUCCGGUGUAGCGGUGAAAUGCGUAGAGAUCGGAAGGAACGUCAAUGGCGAAGGCAGCCACCUGGCAUAAUACUGACGCUGAGGCGCGAAAGCGUGGGGAGCGAACAGGAUUAGAUACCCCCGUAGUCC
rnacentral:rRNA from 1 species